CCUGCCUGGCUUCCUGGU
rnacentral:miRNA from 1 species